rnacentral:rRNA from 1 species
ACUGUAGUGGCGCACGGGUGAGUAACGCGUAACUGACCUACCCCAAAGUCGCGGAUAACGAUUCGAAAGAAUCGCUAAUACGUGAUGUGCUGUCAGAUUGUGUUCUGCCAGUAAAGAUUGAUUGCUUUGGGAUGGGGUUGCGUUCCAUCAGCUAGUUGGUGGGGUAAAGGCCCACCAAGGCGACGACGGAUAGCCGGCCUGAGAGGGUGGCCGGCCACAGGGGCACUGAGACACGGGUCCCACUCCUACGGGAGGCAGCAGUUAGGAAUCUUCCACAAUGGGCGAAAGCCUGAUGGAGCGACGCCGCGUGAGGGAUGAAGGUCUUCGGAUCGUAAACCUCUUUUCUCAAGGAAGAAGUUCUGACGGUACUUGAGGAAUCAGCCUCGGCUAACUCCGUGCCAGCAGCCGCGGUAAUACGGGGGAGGCAAGCGUUAUCCGGAAUUAUUGGGCGUAAAGCGUCCGCAGGUGGUCAGCCAAGUCUGCCGUCAAAUCAGGUUGCUUAACGACCUAAAGGCGGUGGAAACUGGCAGACUAGAGAGCAGUAGGGGUAGCAGGAAUUCCCAGUGUAGCGGUGAAAUGCGUAGAGAUUGGGAAGAACAUCGGUGGCGAAAGCGUGCUACUGGGCUGUAUCUGACACUCAGGGACGAAAGCUAGGGGAGCGAAAGGGAUUANAUACCCCUGUAGUCCUAGCCGUAAACGAUGGAUACUAGGCGUGGCUUGUAUCGACCCGAGCCGUGCCGAANCUAACGCGUUAAGUAUCCCGCCUGGGGAGUACGCACGC